UACGAAGGGGGCUAGCGUUGCUCGGAAUCACUGGGCGUAAAGGGCGCGUAGGCGGCGUUUUUAAGCGGGGGUGAAAGCCUGUGGCUCAACCACAGAAUGGCCUUCGAUACUGGGACGCUUGAGUAUGGUAGAGGUUGGUGGAACUGCGAGUGUAGAGGUGAAAUUCGUAGAUAUUCGCAAGAACACCGGUGGCGAAGGCGGCCAACUGGACCAUCACUGACGCUGAGGCGCGAAAGCGUGGGGAGCAAACAGG
rnacentral:rRNA from 1 species